UUAAAAAGUCCAUCACAAUAUUUUUGAAUCACACUUGAGUUUUACAAAUAGUUUUUAAAUUUGAAUAUGAUUGAAUCCCAGUGCAUGAUACUGAUACCUUUUGUCUAACAUGUACACCGCAAUCGGUGGUCUAACUGUGAGGUCGUACAACCGUCAACCGGGCCAGGUCACGUGGGCGCAUUUGAUAUGUUCCACCACUCUGCUUCUCUGUGGGGUCUGCUCACGUGCUUCUCUUCCCCGCGCUCCAACAGUGGGCUCCGCCGCACUGUUAUAUAACGGUAGGUGUCAAGGAUUUGGAAAAAGCUCCACAGCCAACUGGCACAUUUUUCGUGCUUUAUGUUAAGUCAUAUUAUUGAUCACUUAUUAUGGAUGAUUUGAUAUAUAGUACGACGAGAUUUGCCAUUUUCGAAUGCUUAAUUAA